GUAGCUUUCUUUCCAAGUUAACUUUCAAGAGAAACUCAAGCAACUGAAAGUUUUGUUGGCAAGUUGCACAGCAUCUAGUUCAUCACAAGUAAGUAGACACCUGGAAAUGUGAGGCAUUUUUAAACAAAAGAACUUCAAGUUUCAUUAAAUGUUCUUUCUGUUAUUUUUCCCUAAGUUGCAGAACACUAGAAGUUUUGUUAUGGGGUUGCAAAUAUUUGUGUGUGUGUGUGUGUGUGUGCUAAUCCAACACAGAGAAUUAAUCACUGGUGUCCUCUUUAUAUUUCUUAACCUUUUAGGUACAUUUCUUGUUGUGCGAGUCUGCCUGGGCUGUGAACAUUUGCUGUCAGGGUCAAGAUUCCAGCACAUGGACACAGGGGACCCCAAUAAGAGGUCAAUGGAAAAAAGCUGGAAGAGAUAUUUCAGAAAGUAAGAGUAGCCAGUGCUUUAUGCAGAUCUCUGGGGUCAUCACUACCUUCUGGCUCUGUUUGUGAGCUUUACGACUCUAGAUACUUCAUUUUUCCAGUUCUCAUGAGUUAAACUUUUGGGUCAUUAAUCAUGCGAGUUACAUAGGCUUACUGCUGUAUGCAGAAAUCAUUUAAUUAAUGAUUAUCAUGUUAAUGGAGAGAUAUAUUUCCAAUAGUUAGAAUACCUACAUUGCCAGCCAAUCUUCCCUACUUUCCUACAUUAAAGGUGUUGGGAAACAUUUUUUACUUUUCUUGAUGAAUUAGGAAUAGAGUUGUGGGGAUGUUUUGCUCCUGGUUAUGAAGAAGCCAUAUAAGCUUUUGGUUAUUUUGUUUCACAAAAUACUAUAUUCCACAGUGUCAUUCUCAAGAUCCACUGGGCUGUCUCUUUUUGAAUGUGGCAGCUGUAGAUAGACCCAGAUAAAUUAAUGGAACCUCAUUGUUGUUGCCUGGCAAUCCCAUAUUCCCUCUUGAGCUUUUUCUCUCCUGUUUUAUAGAGAAGUAAUUUCUGAUGUGUUUUACUUCCCCCUCAGUGACCUUCUCUCCUCUUUCUCUCAUCAAGUACAUCUCUUCCUGGUGUCUCUGACAAGAUGGCUUCUCCUCCUCCUCCUCCACAGAAAAGAGAUAGAGAGCAUCAAAGUUACACCUCCCAGAGCUUCCUGCUACUACAAUAUAGACUAACCUACUUCUACCUCCAUUCCUUCCUCUUCCUCCAGCUACUUCCUCUUUCCUCUAGCUACUUCCUCUUUCCCCAGCUACUUCCUCUUUCCCUCUCCCUGCUCCUCUUCCACUUCCUGCUGCUCUUCCUCCUCCCCCCC
rnacentral:lncRNA from 1 species